rnacentral:rRNA from 1 species
CAUGGGCAGGUUGAAGGUUGGGUAACACUAACUGGAGGACCGAACCGACUAAUGUUGAAAAAUUAGCGGAUGACUUGUGGCUGGGGGUGAAAGGCCAAUCAAACCGGGAGAUAGCUGGUUCUCCCCGAAAGCUAUUUAGGUAGCGCCUCGUGAAUUCAUCUCCGGGGGUAGAGCACUGUUUCGGCAAGGGGGUCAUCCCGACUUACCAACCCGAUGCAAACUGCGAAUACCGGAGAAUGUUAUCACGGGAGACACACGGCGGGUGCUAACGUCCGUCGUGAAGAGGGAAACAACCCAGACCGCCAGCUAAGGUCCCAAAGUCAUGGUUAAGUGGGAAACGAUGUGGGAAGGCCCAGACAGCCAGGAUGUUGGCUUAGAAGCAGCCAUCAUUUAAAGAAAGCGUAAUAGCUCACUGGUCGAGUCGGCCUGCGCGGAAGAUGUAACGGGGCUAAACCAUGCACCGAAGCUGCGGCAGCGACACUGUGUGUUGUUGGGUAGGGGAGCGU